CACAAAAAAUGUCCAAAACAGAAUACACAAACACAGAGACUCAAAAUCCCGGAGCAGUUUCCAAGCCAGACCGAGGCUCUACUGAGGCCUUUCCACGGAGCUAGCUCUGUGGUCACGUGGGUCUGAUGCUCAUUAAUUAUACAGAAUUUUAGGCUUUUAAUACACUUAAACAGAAGAGUGAGAAAAAAAAUUCACCCCCCCCCCCUCAGAGUUGUCAUGAGUGUAAACUAGAUCAUUUAAACCAAAAACAUGUUUUGGUACCAGGCUGUAAACAUGUUUAUUUCUGCUGUGAAAUUGGUAUUUUUAACAUGGGAGUCAAUGAGGAUUUGCUCGCUUCUGACACCAGCCCCUAGUGGAUGAGGGUGGAACUGCAAUUUAUGGUACUUCCAGGUUGGCCUCAAUUUUUGAGCUGCAUUGUGGGGACUUGAUUUCGCCUGAUUUUCAUGCUUGCGUUGUGUUUCGUUGAAUUGUUCAAGCAUUUGGCUCUUUUAUGUACAGCACUUUGGUUAGCUGCCAUGCUAUUUUGAAACUGUGAUUUAUAAAAAAAUUGGUAUGGUAUGGUAUGCUAAUGCAACUAAUGCUAACGUGCUCUACUGUUUCCUGGACGGUAAACCAACAACAGCCUUACGCCGCCGAGAGUCAAGAUGGAUCUGCCGGAGCUGCCACUUUCACUGCCCUGCCUGCUGAUCUGGCCUAGCUUGAUGUCUAACAUGUGUGCCUGAACAAAAACACACGUUCUUGAAAACCUCACUGGCUGCAUUUGUUCCAUUUCAUCAUGGAAAGUGAGAUAAAAACAUCCCCUCUUCUCUGGAGCCGUCCUGUAAACCAGACUUUCCCGCAUCUCUCUGUCGUGCGCUGCUUGCUUCUCGUUGAGACAAGCUGCAACACGCAGCUGAAGCUACUUUUACAGUAUGGUCGCCCGCCAUGAGGGGUAAAGCAGGAUGUUCAGCAGCUCCACCAGGGCUUUAAUGUGGGCCACUCAAUCUGUGCAUCUCCUACGGUGGACUCUGCAGGCAGAACUACAGCCCCCCCUUGUUACCCCGUUACCUUGCUGGCUGUCUGUCACGCUUUAAAGCCCAACAUGGCUGUUGUCUCCACCCAUCCACGUGCCUGGAGUCACAUCAUCACACACACCUAUGACGUUAGUUAGUUAGUUAGUUAGUUAGUUAGUUAGUUAGUUAGUUAGUUAGUUAGUUAGUUAGUUAGUUAGUUAGUUAGUUAGUUAGUUAGUUAGUGGGUUGGUCUGUCAGUUAGUUAGUUAGUUAGUUAGUUAGUUAGUUAGUUAGUUAGUUAGUUAGUUAGUUAGUUAGUUAGUUAGUUAGUUCGUGGGUCGGUCGGUCUGUCAGUUAGUUAGUUAGUGGGUCGGUCUGUCAGUUACUUAGUUAGUUAGUUAGUUAGUUAGUUAGUUAGUUAGUUAGUUCGUGGGUCGGUCGGUCUGUCAGUUAGUUAGUUAGUGGGUCGGUCUGUCAGUUAGUUAGUUAGUUAGUUAGUUAGUUAGUUAGUUAGUUAGUUAGUGGGUUGGUCUGUCAGUUAGUUAGUUAGUUAGUUAGUUAGUUAGUUAGUUAGUUAGUUAGUUAGUUAGUUAGUGGGUCGGUCUGUUGGUUAGUUAGUAAGUUAGUUAGUUAGUUAGUUAGUUAGUUAGUUAGUUAGUUAGUGGGUCGGUCUGUCAGUUAGUUAGUUAGUUAGUUAGUUAGUUAGUUAGUUAGUUAGUGGGUUGGUCUGUCAGUUAGUUAGUUAGUUAGUUAGUUAGUUAGUUAGUUAGUUAGUUAGUUAGUUAGUUAGUUAGUUAGUUCGUGGGUCGGUCGGUCUGUCAGUUAGUUAGUUAGUGGGUCGGUCUGUCAGUUAGUUAGUUAGUUAGUUAGUUAGUUAGUUAGUUAGUUAGUUAGUUAGUUAGUUAGUUAGUUAGUUAGUUAGUUAGUUAGUUAGUGGGUUGGUCUGUCAGUUAGUUAGUUAGUUAGUUAGUUAGUUAGUUAGUUAGUUAGUUAGUGGG